GUGCCAGCAGCCGCGGUAAGACGAACCGUGCGAACGUUGUUCGGAAUCACUGGGCUUAAAGGGAGCGUAGGCGGGCCACCAAGUCAGGGGUGAAAUCCCACGGCUCAACCGUGGAAGUGCCUCUGAUACUGGCGGCCUCGAGGGGUGCAGGGGCGUGCGGAACUAAGGGUGGAGCGGUGAAAUGCGUAGAUAUCGGAAGGAACACCGGUGGCGAAAGCGGCAUCCUGGACCGACAUUGACGCUGAGGAGCGAAAGCUAGGGGAGCAAACGGGAUUAGAUACCCCGGUAGUCC
rnacentral:rRNA from 1 species